UCUGUGGCUCCAGUACAUUCCAUACCAGCCACACUGAGUUUGCACUCUCUCUCUCUCUCUCUCUCUCUCUCUCUCUCUCGCUCUCUCUCUUGGUUUUUUGAGACAGGGUUUCUCUGUGUAGCCCUGGCUGUCCUGGAACUCACUUUGUAGACCAGGCUGGCCUCGAACUCAGAAAUCCACCUGCCUCUGCCUCCCAAGUGCUGGGAUUAAGUCAUGUACCACCACUGCCAAGCGCACUCUUUUUCUCUUAAGUUAAACGUCUUUGGAAACAGUGUUGGAGAUAAAUCAGGUACAUGCAUCUGAGGUAAUUUUGAGUCUAGUCGAGAUAUUGAUGAGGGUCAGCUGACACUGUUCUUCACUGGGUUGACCAAUUACUUUUAGAUUUCAGGUGAUAAUGUCCAGGCAAUUUGAAAGUGCGGUUGAAUAAUCAUUUGUUAUUUAUUCAUCAUUUCAAUCACUGCGUUUCCAAAAUAUUCUUUUUUUAAGCAUGAUAGAAGAAAGCAGUUCUAAAAUAAUUACUGAUUAUAUAUGACCUAGUUAUACAAUCCCUACAGAAAUUCUAAACUAGAUUUCAAAAGUAGGGUCUAAUUUUGGUCUAUUCCCUUUUAAUACCAUGUGUGAGAGGUAGGGAGUGGAGAAAGAGGGAGAGUAAGUCACAUGAUAAACAAACAUGAGAGGAAGACAACCUGUAAAUGUCACUGCUCUUAUUUUCUCAGAAGAUUUAUCUGAGGCUGGUAUCCCUCUAUGUUCUGUGAAUUAUUUUUUUAAAAAAUCCAGAUUCUAUCUUUUCCUGCCUUCUCUAACAAAGCACCAUUUCUGGUCUUACAUGAUCCUGUAAGUUUUGCUCUCUAUGCUUUCCCCUUGACUAUCCCUAGUAUAGGUACCCUAAAUAACUGUCUUAAAUUAGCUACUACAAUAAGCCACUUCUGUGUUCAAAAGCAUCUACAGUUACCUAAUAUGAUUGAGGUUAAAUCCAAACUCCUUGCUGAUAUUCAAAGGGUUGGACCUACUGAUCUUCUUGUCCAUCUAGUUCCAUGGUGGUGGUUUGAAAAAUUUGGCCUCCAUCAACUUGUGCACAAUUAGGAGAUUAGACAUUAUUGGGGGAGGUGUAACCAUUUCUUGUUAGAGGAAGUUUGUCACUAUGGAGGCAGGAUUUGAGGCCUGAAAUGCUCAAGCUAUGGCCAGUAUGAAACAAAUACACUUCUGCCUUGCUUCUCGUGGAUCAAAAUAUAGAACUCUCUGUUCCUUUUGCAACACCAUGUCUGCCUGCAUGCUGCCAUGCUUCCUGCCAUCAUGAUAAUUGACUAAACCUCUGAAACUGUAAGCUAGCCUCAAUUAAAAGUUUUUCAUUAUAAGAGUUGCUUUGGUCAUGGUGACUCUUCACAGAACUAAAAACUUCUCAGACACCAGUCCUCUUCUUCUGCUUUUCUUUCCAUCCUGUCUUUUCUUCUAUCAUAACAUACUUGUUUUCAGUCUAAGACUUUUGUAUCUGUGUCAUUUACCUGUUUUGCUCUUCAAUAGAUAACUACAAUGCUUGUUCUUUAUCUUGAUGUUAGACUUUAGCAAACGAGUUAUAUUUCAAUGUGUCAAUCAGUACAGCCAAAGAAAUGAUAUUAUGUAACACCUCUUGAUACAACAUUCUUUUAUUGUUACUACUAUUAGUAGUAGUUGUAACAGUGUUAUUACUAUUAUUAUUUAUUAACUUUAGCAUUAAUAUUUUUAUUACUCGCAACAUUGACUGUACCACUGAAGCUUAUGAAACUCUUCUGUUUGCUCUGUACAGAUGUAGCUAUAAGGUAUACACAGCCUAGAAAAGGUGGCUGAAGAUGUGCUAUGCAUACAAAGAGUCACUGCAGGAAAAUCAGUUUGCUUGUUAUAAAGCAUGAAUCAUGAUUUAGACUUUUAUAUAGUAUUUGUGGUUUUUAUCCUUUCUAUCUAUCUAGAAAAUAAGUUCCAUUCUAGAAUAAAGUGUAAAUUUCCUUAUGGUUUAUGCUGUCUGCCUUGACUGAAAGAACCUAGGUUAUAGCAACUGCUUGAUAUAUCUUUGUUAACUGAAGAAGUGAAUAUGUUGCUGUUAAUCAAUAAAUACAUUUAUGUAUCAUGAAACAACAGCAUGUCUUCUAUGAGGUUUGUCUCGAAAGCCAAAGGGAAACAUUUAAGUAAGUAUUUGCCUUUCAGAGCUUAUGAACUUAAUGUGUGGAAUGAAAGACCACUUCAGCUGACAAUGAGACUUAUGGCCUAAUGAAUUUUGGAACAAUGUUUACUUUAUUUCUUAUUUUUUUUAGAUUACGAAUAUUGAUGGCCUUUUUAAUGGUUAUGCUGAGUGCUUCAGUUUUUAAAGGAUGAUUUAUGGAUAAAUGGUAGAUAAUUUUUAAGAAUUUGUUUAACUCAAUUACCUGCAAGGCACAGGUUUGGAGAAAUCACAAGUGGAGACUUUAAUUCAGAGGGUAGUGGACAGGUGAUUGGUGUAGAAAGCUAAGUUAGACUGCAUCUGAAAGUUAUUGCAAGGCUCAUCAGCAUCUUCCAGUGUGUAUGUUCUACUACAAAUAUUCACUAGGAGAAAGACACCCAUGCAUAUGUAACUACAGCCUCUUUUCUUCAUCUAUAGUUGUCCUAGAAAUAGUAUGUUAAUGUUGCUUUGCAUGUGCUGGCAUACUUUACCUGAAAUGUUAAAACGCAAUGAGCACAGGUCCCAGCAAGAUUACCUAGAUAGUGAUUUGCAACUUUUUCUACUAGUCUACAUCAUGAUUCAUGCCUUAUAGUGAGCAAACUGAUUUUCCUGGAGUGACUGACCCUGCACAGUACAUCCGCAGCCACUUUUCCGAAGGCGUGCAUGCCUUAUAACUACAUCUGUACAGAGCAAACUGAAUAAGUUCAUAAGCUUCAGUUGCACAGCUGAAGAACUGAAUCCUUCAAGACCAAUAAUGUCAGGUGGCACUUGGUAGUGUUGGAGUUGCAGGACCAAAGUUAUCCUUCUAAGAGAAAAAUACCUGAGAACCCAAGUUCACAUUGAGAGGCCCCAAAGUGAGUUGUCACAUAACUGGUGGCUCUGAAUACAUGCCCUUUCACACUUGUGCUGAACUUCCAAGUGCCUCCAUUUUGCAGGGCUUUACACCCAUCAGUAAAGGAAAUCUGUGUGGGAACAGUUCAAGAGGAGGCUUUUACAUUCAUCCGGACAUGUUGAUUAUAAUUUAUCAAUUCAUUAACAGUGAGAGUUUGGCUAGGCAUGCUUCUUGCAUUGCUCACAGUAUGUGGCAUAGCUAAGUUCACUCUCUCCACAAACUGAGCCUCAUGCUUUGCCAGACUGAUGACAUACUUUGGGACUGAUCACACUUCUUGGUGUCAUAUAUAUCCUCUUAUGCACUAAACAUUUACUGAAGUUCACCACUUGCCAUUUUUCUUCCACAUUUGGUGCUUUCCCAUAUCCUGCCUGAUUCAGUUCCUAUGUCCAGAAAGCUUUUUUCAUGAUUACUUAUCUCCAAUACCAUGUCUAUGGCCAUCAUAUCUU
rnacentral:lncRNA from 1 species